rnacentral:misc_RNA from 1 species
UCUCCGUAGGUGAACCUGCGGAGGGAUCAUUACUGAGUGAGGGUCUCCGGGCCCGACCUCCAACCCUUUUGUGAACCACCUCGUUGCUUCGGGGGCGACCCUGCCGUUCGCGGCGUGGGGCCCCCGGUGGUCCAUCUCAACCCUGCAUCUGUGCGUCUGAGUAAAUAUUUGAAUCAAUCAAAACUUUCAACAACGGAUCUCUUGGUUCUGGCAUCGAUGAAGAACGCAGC